rnacentral:rRNA from 1 species
UACGUAGGGGGCUAGCGUUGUCCGGAUUCAUUGGGCGUAAAGCGCGUGUAGGCGGCCAGGUAGGUCCGAUGUGAAAACUCGAGGCUCAACCUCGAGAUGUCGGCGGAAACCACUUGGCUAGAGUCCGGAAGAGGAGAGUGGAAUUCCCGGUGUAGCGGUGAAAUGCGCAGAUAUCGGGAAGAACACCUAUGGCGAGGGCAGCUCUCUGGGACGGUACUGACGCUGAGACGCGAAAGCGUGGGGAGCAAACGGG